rnacentral:lncRNA from 1 species
UCCCCCCGAGUUGGUAGAAUUAGAAACUGCUGGAGUUUGAACUCUGCACUGUGUUGUCCUGUGAAGGUCCUGAUAUGCCUGCAAUUGUCUUCUUUGUUAGGUUGUUCAAGAGGAUGCUUUGAGAAGAAACAGAAUAAGAGGUGGAUCGAGUGCUUAUAGUUUUUCUUCAGGAAGACUUGCUCCAAACAGUCACACACACACACAACCCAUAUUGCAGUGCCUCACUUUUAUUUGUUUGUCAGAUGCUUAUGACAUGCUCAAUACAUAUUUGCUGAAAUUAACCUAAUGUUUUUAAAGAAUUUUCCAAAUAACUUUUUUUGGGGACAGAGUCUCACUCUGUCACCCAGGCUGGCAUGCAGUGGCAAAAUAUCGGCUUGCUACAGCCUCUGCCUCCUGGUUCCAUGUAAUUAUCCUGCCUCAGCCUCCUGGGUAGGUGGAACUACAGAUGCACACCACCGCACCCUGAUAAUUUUUGUAUUUUUUAGUAGAGAUGGGGUUUCAUCAUAUUGGCCAGGCUCAUGAUCCACCCACCUCGA